rnacentral:rRNA from 1 species
UGAAUACGAGACGCUAAGGCGUCGAAGUAGUGUAUGUCAUACUUCCAAGAAAAGCUUGCACUGUCAUAGAUAAAAAACGCCUGUACCAUAACCGACACAGGUGGGUAGGUAGAGUAUACUAAGGGGCGCGAGAUAACUCUCUCUAAGGAACUCGGCAAAAUAACUCCGUAACUUCGGGAGAAGGAGUGCCUUAUUCUUAAGGUUGCAAUAACAAGAUCCAAGCAACUGUUUAUCAAAAACACAGGUCUCCGCUAAGUCGUAAGACGAUGUAUGGGGGCUGACGCCUGCCCAGUGCCAGAAGGUUAAAGAAGCUGGUUAGCAUUUGCGAAGCUAGUAACUGAAGCCCUGGUGAACGGCGGCCGUAACUAUAACGGUCCUAAGGUAGCGAAAUUCCUUGUCGGGUAAGUUCCGACCCGCACGAAAGGCGUAAUGAUUUGGAUACUGUCUCGGAGAGGGGCUCGGUGAAAUAGACUUGUCUGUGAAGAUGCGGACUACCUGCACCAGGACAGAAAGACCCUAUGAAGCUUUACUGUAACUUGAAAUUGAAAUUGGACUUUAUUCGCGCAGUAUAGGUGGGAGGCGUUGAUUAUAAUCUUGCGGGAUUAUUGGAGCCAUUAGUGAGAUACCACUCUUGUAAUGUUAGAUUUCUAACUUUGAAUCAUUAUCUGGUCAAAGAACAGUUUCAGGCGGGCAGUUUGACUGGGGCGGUCGCCUCCUAAACGGUAACGGAGGCGUACAAAGGUUUCCUCUGAACGGUUAGAAAUCGUAUCUAGAGUGUAAAGGCAUAAGGAAGCUUGACUGUGAGACCUACAAGUCGAGCAGGGACGAAAGUCGGUCUUAGUGAUCUGACGGUACUGAGUGGAAAGGCCGUCACUCAACGGAUAAAAGUUACUCUAGGAUAACAGGCUGAUCUCCCCCAAGAGUUCACAUCGACGGGGAGGUUUGGCACCUCGAUGUCGGCUCAUCGCAUCCUGGGGCGGUAGUACGUCCCAAGGGUUGGGCUGUUCGCCCAUGAAAGCGGUACGCGAGCUGGGUUCAGAACGUCGUGAGACAGUUCGGUCCAUAUCCGGUGUAGGCGUUAGAAUAUUGAGAGGAGCCUUCUUUAGUACGAGAGGACCGAGAAGGACAUACCUCUGGUGUACCAGUUAUCGUGCCAACGGUAAACGCUGGGUAGCUAUGUAUGGAGUGGAUAACCGCUGAAAGCAUCUAAGUGGGAAGCCCACCUCAAGAUAAG